rnacentral:rRNA from 1 species
CCGCCGCGCGGCGGGCGGGGCGGGGGCACGGGGGGAGGAAAGCAGGGGAUCGUAAGACCUUGCGCUAAAGGAGCGGCCGAUGUCUGAUUAGCUAGUUGGUGGGGUAAAGGCUUACCAAGGCAACGAUCAGUAGUUGGUCUGAGAGGACGGCCAACCACACUGGGACUGAGACACGGCCCAGACUCCUACGGGAGGCAGCAGUGGGGAAUUUUGGACAAUGGGCGAAAGCCUGAUCCAGCCAUGCCGCGUGAGUGAAGAAGGCCUUCGGGUUGUAAAGCUCUUUUAGUCGGAAAGAAAGAAUUACAAUAAAUAUUUGUGAUUUAUGACGGUACCGACAGAAAAAGCACCGGCUAACUACGUGCCAGCAGCCGCGGUAAUACGUAGGGUGCGAGCGUUAAUCGGAAUUACUGGGCGUAAAGGGUGCGCAGGCGGUUUUGCAAGUCAGAUGUGAAAGCCCCGGGCUUAACCUGGGAAUUGCGUUUGAAACUACAAGGCUAGA